AUCUGGUGGAUCCUGCCAGUAGUUAUAUGCUCGUCUUCAAGAUUAAGCCAUGCAUGUCUAAGUGUAAACCACUGGUGAACUGCGAACGGCUCAUUAAAACAGUUAUGAUUUAUUUGGUGGUAUGGCUUGUACACGGAUAACCGUAGUAACUCUGUGGCUAAUACGUGCGAUGUAUUCCACCCUUACUUAGUGCUGCAUGUAGUACAUGCACAGGAGGGGCGUAUUUAUUAGUGAAGUAUGCUGAUACCCGUACCUACAUCAGUGCUCCUUGAGCCUGUUCAAGGGCGGGUAUACGGUGUUGAAACAUAAUAUCUGUCGAAUCGUGUGGCUCUUUAGCCGACGAUGCUCCAUGUAAAUUUCUGACUUAUCAACUUGAUGGUAGGGUAGUGGCCUACCAUGGUCAUGACGGGUAACGGGGAAUUAGCGUUUGAUUCCGGAGAGGGAGCCUGAGAGACGGCUACCACUUCUAAGGAAGGCAGCAGGCGCGCA
rnacentral:rRNA from 16 species